AUUGAACGCUGGCGGCAGGCCUAACACAUGCAAGUCGAGCGGUAGAGAGGUGCUUGCAUCUCUUGAGAGCGGCGGACGGGUGAGUAAUGCCUAGGAAUCUGCCUAGUGGUGGGGGAUAAACGUUCGGAAACGGACGCUAAUACCGCAUACGUCCUACGGGAGAAAGCGGGGGAUCUUCGGACCUCGCGCCAUUAGAUGAGCCUAGGUCGGAUUAGCUAGUUGGUGAGGUAAUGGCUCACCAAGGCGACGAUCCGUAACUGGUCUGAGAGGACGACCAGCCACACUGGGACUGAGACACGGCCCAGACUCCUACGGAGGCAGCAGUGGGGAAUUUUUGGGACAAAUGGGCGCAAGCCUGAUCCAGCAAUGCCGCGUGCAGGAUGAAGGCCUUCGGUU
rnacentral:rRNA from 1 species